AGCCACGCAGUGAGCACAGAGUGAACUAUUCUUUUACCUUUUACUAAAGAAUAAUGUGCACACGCUGCAAAUAGUGGCAUAUGCCUAUUUUUGAACAAUUCCAUAGUUAUU